rnacentral:rRNA from 1 species
GAGUUUGAUCGUGGCUCAGGAUGAACGCUAGCGGCAGGCUUAACACAUGCAAGUCGAGGGGCAGCGGGAGGAGUGCUUGCACUUCUUGCCGGCGACCGGCGCACGGGUGAGUAACACGUAUGCAACCUGCCUCCGUCAGGGGGACAACCCGGCGAAAGCCGGGCUAAUCCCGCGUAUAUUCCGUGAGGGCAUCCUUACGGAAGGAAAGGCUUCGGCCGGACGGGGAUGGGCAUGCGGCGCAUUAGGUAGUCGGGGUGUAACGGACCACCGAGCCGACGAUGCGUAGGGGUUCUGAGAGGAAGGUCCCCCAACUGGUACUGAGACACGGACCAGACUCCUACGGGAGCAGCAGUGAGGAAUAUUGGUCAAU